UGCAAGUCGAACGGGGACUUCGGUCCUAGUGGCGAACGGUCGCGUAACACGUAAGCAACCUGCCCUGAAGUGGGGGACAACAUCCCGAAAGGGGUGCUAAUACCGCAUGUGGUCACGAGUCGGCAUCGGCUUGUGUCUAAAGAUUUAUCGCUUCAGGAUGGGCUUGCGGCCUAUCAGGUAGUUGGUGGGGUAAUGGCCUACCAAGCCGACGACGGGUAGCUGGUCUGAGAGGACGAUCAGCCGGAUUGGGACUGAGAUACGGCCCAGACUCCUACGGGGGGCAGCAAUUAGGAAUCUUGCGCAAUGGGGGAAACCCUGACGCAGCGACGUCGCGUGAAGGAUGAAGGCCCUCGGGUCGUAAACUUCUUUUGAGUGGGAAGAAAUUUGACGGUACCACUCGAAUAAGCCCCGGCUAACUACGUGCCAGCAGCCGCGGUAAUACGUAGGGGGCGAGCGUUGUCCGAAGUUACUGGGCGUAAAGCGCGCGUAGGCGGUUAUUCAAGUCUGGGGUGAAAGGUUCAGCGCUCAACGUGAACAGUGCCUUGGAUACUGGAUGACUUGAGUCUGGGAGGGGGAAGGGGAAUUCCUGGUGUAGCGGUGAAAUGCGUAGAUAUCAGGAGGAACACCGGUGGCGAAGGCGCCUUCCUGGCCUAAGACUGACGCUGAGGUGCGAAAGCGUGGGGAGCAAACGGGAUUAGAU
rnacentral:rRNA from 1 species